GGAUCAAUAUGUCGGUCGUGCCUUGGUACGUACUAGCAUUAUUAAUUCCUACCUUCUGAAGAACCUCGAUGUCAUUAAUUUGGUGUCUUGGAGGAUCAGGACUGUUACUUUGAAAAAUUAGAGUGUUUAAAGCAGGCUCGCGCUUGAAUACAUUAGCAUGGAAUAAUGAAAUAGGACGUUUGAUUCUAUUUUGUUGGUUUCUAGGAUUGACGUAAUGAUUAA
rnacentral:rRNA from 1 species